rnacentral:rRNA from 1 species
UUUGAUGGCGACCGGCGCACGGGUGAGUAACACGUAUCCAACCUGCCGAUGACUCGGGGAUAGCCUUUCGAAAGAAAGAUUAAUACCCGAUGGCAUAGUUCUUCCGCAUGGUAGAACUAUUAAAGAAUUUCGGUCAUCGAUGGGGAUGCGUUCCAUUAGGUUGUUGGCGGGGUAACGGCCCACCAAGCCUUCGAUGGAUAGGGGUUCUGAGAGGAAGGUCCCCCACAUUGGAACUGAGACACGGUCCAGACUCCUACGGGAGGCAGCAUG